ensembl:lncRNA
GGUCCAAACCGAGUGAGGGACCAUCGCUUGUUCCUGGGUGGCUGGUUGGGAAUGAAGCCCAGAGCAAGAGGCCGCCGAGGAAGUGCAGGGCACGUGCGUCCGCACCACCGCUCUUGGCUGGGAGGCUCUCCGGCUGGAGCAGCUCCCAUGUCCCCUGGCUACUUUUGCAGUGGGGGUAGGGCAGUGGACUGCUUUCUCGGGGCCACAGGGAGAGCCCCUCCCAGGUGGAGGGAGCAGGUGGCAGGAAGGCCCACGCCUUGGGCUCAGGGGCUGGGCUCUGUGCUGGCAGAGGCCCUCGUGUGUUCACGGGGACAGCACUGCGGCAGGUGGGGGGGUCCAGUGCUUCGUGAGGCACCCCAAGGAGGCAGUGGGCUUUGGGGAGACAGCUUUCGCACGCCCAGCUUUUGUAGUGAUGGGGCCAUUUAAGUCUGCAUGGAACCUUCGGAGCCUUUGCAGCCAGAGAAUUGAAUCCCAGAGCCCGGCUGCAGAGCGGGAACAAGACUACAGAGAAAUGUGGGUGUGGGGCAUGAAGCCAACCCCAUUCCAGGCAGCUGGGAUGAAGGGAAUCCUGGCUAACACAAGCGGAGACACCGCCUUGGGCACAGGCCGCCAGGUGCCUGCCAAACACAAGUGGGUCCCCAUCCGUUUGCCUGGGGCACGCGUGGAGUUACGUUAUUUCUAGGCUGGGCUCUCCUGUCACUGAUGUCCCCAGAGAAGCAGGUAAGCCCCAGGCCAGGGGAGGUGUAGACACAGCCGUUAAUCACCCUCUGGGUCUCUUCUUGUUGCCAUAAACCACCCAGAAGAUGCCCUGCUCUUCGGGGAAGCGAGGAAGGGCUGUCUUCAGGUUGCCUGUUCAGAGAAAAAGCAGCAGAUCCUGUGGAGGGUCCAUUCAGAAGUCAAGUUCCAUCCCUCUGCUCGUUGAACAAAGAAUGGGUGUUAAAAUGCCAAUUUCUUUGUUAGAUUUCCAGGCUCUGGAGAAAGCUGGACAUUGGGAGGAGGAAGGAGUGUUAAUUGUAUUAAAAUGGUUCAGAGACUAGCCAGCAGGGGAAGGGAGCCCUCGAGUGGCUCAGACCCCAUCCAACUCCAGUGAACAAAGCCACAGAGUCAGCUCUGCCCCAAACCCACCAUUGGGGUCGCGCCGACUAGGACUUCAUCUCAGGAAAAAGCAUAAACAUCGCCAGUCUCUGUUGAUUUAAAAGCAGCAAUUUGUGUUGACGCAGGUGCCUGUGUCUAGGAUAAUGCCCCCAGCUGGCCCCCUCCACCGUGCGCUCCCUGGGGACCACCUUUCAGGGUUGUGAGAGCACCCAGGAUGCUCCGCCUGCAGCCAGGGCUGAGAGCCAUGUGGUCACAGAACCAGGGCACUCUGACAGGCAUCAGGCUUUGCCAAUUAGCCCGGAGCAGCUCAGCUCCUGGGGGAUCUGCAGCUCCCCCAGAAUACACAGCACGCCCAGGCGGCCACAGUCACAGUGGCCACAGACUCAGGGCUACUGCGGGCUGGGCAGACCGCCCCAUCCGUGCAUUUCCUCAUCUCUCUCUCCCAAGCCCGGGGUAAGGACACUGUUCUUGCCAUUUCACAGACAAGGGAGCUGAGGCACAGGAGGGCUAAGUCUUGUGACUCAAGUGUCACAGCCAGCUCAUAGCGGAGCCGGGCUGGAGUCUCGCACUUGCUCUCGGGCCACCUGCUGGAGUCCCCCAGUUGUCCCCCUCGUACCACCUCAGGAGUGCAAGGGCCCAUCCCCGACUCCCUGGGGUCCACAAACCCAGCUGAGAUGCAGCUGAGUUCCCAGGUCUUGCAUGGCUUUGUUUCUUAGGCAUGUUUCCCAUCGGCCCAAGUCUGGCAGGGGACGCCACAAGGGCCCCCACCGUAUGCUCCUGGAAAGGGUUAGUGGGAGUGUGACACUGCAGGCAAGGGUGGGCAGAGCCCCCAGCCAAAUGACGAGGAAGGAAAGCCUUGGGGCUGUGAACGGUGACUGUCCUCCCAGCAGGGGCCCCAGGUGCACAGGGGCUCCUCAGACCCCCACCUGCCUGUGUGAGGAGCUCACGGACCACGAGCCUGUUCUUCCUUUGCUGAUGGAGGAGAGAACAGCUCUGAGAAUAAAGGAGUCUCGGCGGGGAGAAAAUAGAAAGCAACAAAAGCUUUCAAGGCGUAAGGUUUUCCCAAGGGGACGGGGCGGGAGGGCAGCUGCUCGCUGUGCUGAGUGACAGCCAGGCAGGAGAGCCAGCACACCAACACCUGCAGAGGUGGUUUCAGCAGGAAAACAACAGCUAGCCAGUCACUCCUCUGUCUCCCAUGGCCACAGCGGGCUGUGGCUGUACCCAGACGUUCGCCACCAGGGCUGGGCGGCCACGAAGUGGUCGUUCCUCGCAGGUUUGAUUGCACAGUCGGAGGCCCAGGCCCCCGACAUGCAUGGAUCUGGGACACAGUGUAACUUGUCCCUGCGAACAGAUCAGCGUUUCACCCACAAACAUCCACUUCUGUCAUGGUCAGUUAAAGCACUUUAAUGCUUUAAGGUUGGAGAAAAAAUACCUACCACCCAUGUUUUUAAUGUAAUAUAAUGCUUCUUCAAGCAGUAUUAAUGGAUAUAUUCCAAUGAUGCUAACUGUUUUUGGUAAUGUAAUCUUGGGAAAAUGUGUUAUUUUUUUAGCUGUGUUUUGGUGGGAAUUUUUGUCUUUGUAACAUAAUAAAGCACAUGUUC